rnacentral:rRNA from 1 species
UACGUAGGUGGCAAGCGUUAUCCGGAUUUAUUGGGCGUAAAGGGAACGCAGGCGGUCUUUUAAGUCUGAUGUGAAAGCCUUCGGCUUAACCGGAGUAGUGCAUUGGAAACUGGGAGACUUGAGUGCAGAAGAGGAGAGUGGAACUCCAUGUGUAGCGGUGAAAUGCGUAGAUAUAUGGAAGAACCCCAGUGGCGAAAGCGGCUCUCUGGCCUGUAACUGACACUGAGGCUCGAAAGCGUGGGGAGCAAACAGG